GUAGGAGAAAGAGGUAUUUAAAAUGCUCAAAAACAUCUUGACAUCUUGAUAGAUUAAUACAAUAGGAGAUAAGAGGCAGAAGUAAGGAGAUGACUUGGGAGUGAGUGACCAUAACUGUAGGAAUAAUAAUAGAUGCAGAUGUUAUAGGAAGAUAUAAGGGAUAAAAUGUACAGUUAAUGGUAAAUUACAAAAGGGCAAGAUAAAGUAGAUGAUAGAUAGAGAGUAAUCUAGUAAAUACUACAAUCUGCCUGCAGCAUGAUUUCCUCAUCCCCUCCAGCUAAACAGUAAAUGUAAUGCUGCCUCUUAUAUAUAAGGGGGGAAAGGCUCAUUACCAGCCGUGUGAGGACAUGCUGAUGUGCAGGGGUUAAUCCAAGUACUCCCUGUCCUGACUGAGUUCUGAGCAAGUUCAGCACAACAGUGCUGAGCGACAAACUGAAAAGAGAUAAGGACUCUGAGGCCUUUGUUAAGGCAACAGUGGCAAGCUGGAGAGCAACAGAGGGAACUUGGAAGUGCAAUGGAAGCGCUUGCAGCAUCAAAAAGACAAUACAGGCACCUAUGGUGACCUAAGGCUUCUAGUCUGGGGAAACCAGUAGCAGCACCAUCCUCAACACUAUGGCAGUAGGAGCAACCAUCACAGGUGUUCCCAAACCUGUCAGUCUACUGGCCUAUGGAUACCUAUUAUAGUGGGCACAGUCAAGCCCAUGGCAGCCACAAUCUCCACGUCAGUGGGGGUGAAGACUCAGACAAGAUGGGAAUAACUAAGGCAGAGUGAGAGGAAAUUACAGAGGAGGCAUCAUGUGAGAAUGGACAUCUGAAUCAAGACAAUCAUCAGUUUGUGUUGACUGUCAAAGAAGUGGACAAAAGAAACAGGACAGGGAGAGGGAGGAGACACCCAGGCACUGAAGGAUGAGCCCAACGAGCAUGCCUUCCUCUUCCCUUGUGAAAUAGCAUAGUUUUAAGGAGGCCUAGAGAAUUCUACAGGAGGUGUAUACCAAUACUAUCAAAGGGAAUUGAUGAGGAAACCAUGCUGAGGGACUAUCUUAUGGGUGAGCCCACCUGAUACCCAACGAUGCCCUGACUAGGUACAGAGAAGGUAGUUAAGACAUCUCAGGAAAUAGAAAAGCUGGUGGAAAGAUGUUGGUCUUCAUGGAAGGAAUGGAGGUCCACCAACUCUAUUCUGUUAAUCACAGUAACAAAGGGGGGCGAACCCCUGGUAGAAUGUCAAAUUGUAUGAUUUGUUACAUUUGUUACCUUGAGUUACAGAUUUUUUAUAAUUUUUCACUGUCAUUAUUUGAUUAAUGUUUUAGUUGAACGUCCCUUUGGAAAACAAAAGAGUCUGCUGAAUACCAUAACUGUAACUUUAAUGGUUAGUGACAUUUACAUGACACUAACCAGAUACUUUCCCAACAGAUACAGUACUUGAUAUGGUGCUUUCCUUUGCGCAUAUUUGGGAUCUAUGCGCAAGGGGGGAGUAGAAAAGAGGAAUAUUUUUAUUGAAGGAUUUUUUGAUUUUCAUAGUUACAGGAAGUUAUUGAUGAUAGUCUAACAGAUGUCAUGUGUAUAGUCAUAAUAUCAGGAAAGUGAUAGUGUUGUCUAAACCAUUAGGUCCCAGAAGGAUCAU